rnacentral:rRNA from 1 species
AGUGAACGCUGGCGGUAGGCCUAACACAUGCAAGUCGAACGGCAGCACAGUAAGAGCUUGCUCUUACGGGUGGCGAGUGGCGGACGGGUGAGGAAUACAUCGGAAUCUACUUUUUCGUGGGGGAUAACGUAGGGAAACUUACGCUAAUACCGCAUACGACCUACGGGUGAAAGCAGGGGAUCUUCGGACCUUUCGCGAUUGAAUGAGCCGAUGUCGGAUUAGCUAGUUGGCGGGGUAAAGGCCCACCAAGGCGACGAUCCGUAGCUGGUCUGAGAGGAUGAUCGGCCACACUGGAACUGAGACACGGUCCAGACUCCUACGGGAGGCAGCAGUGGGGAAUAUUGGACAAUGGGCGCAAGCCUGAUCCAGCAAUACCGCGUGAGUGAAGAAGGCCUUCGGGUUGUAAAGCCCUUUUGUUGGGAAAGAAAAGCAGCAGGUUAAUACCCCGCUGUUCUGACGGUACCCAAAGAAUAAGCACCGGCUAACUUCGUG